UUUCCGUAGGUGAACCUGCGGAAGGAUCAUUAAUGAGUUGUCAUGGGGUUCGAUGCUGGCAGCCAAUUUUUGGAUGCAUGUGCUUGCCCUAACAAUCAUCAUCCAAACACCUGUGCACAUUUUUGAGGGAGUCUUGAGUUGGUUGCCGCUCUUGGGUGAUUUUCUCACAUUCCCUUAAAUCAUUAUACGCUAUUAACAAUGUUGAACGUGCUCUGUGCCGCAAGGCUAUUAAUAUAAUACAACUUUUAACAACGGAUCUCUUGGCUCUC
rnacentral:misc_RNA from 1 species